AGCAGCCGCGGUAAUUCCAGCUCCAAUAGCGUAUAUUAAAGUUGUUGCAGUUAAAAAGCUCGUAGUUGAAUUUCGGGAUCAAUAUGUUGGUCGUGCCUUGGUACGUACUGGCAUUAUCGAUUCCUACCUUCUGAAGAACCUCGAUGUCAUUAAUUUGGUGUCUUGGGGAAUCAGGACUGUUACUUUGAACAAAUUAGAGUGUUUAAAGCAGGCUCGCGCUUGAAUACAUUAGCAUGGAAUAAUGAAAUAGGACGUUUGAUUCUAUUUUGUUGGUUUCUAGGAUCGACGUAAUGAUUAAUAGGGAUAGUUGGGGGCAUUAGUAUUCAAUUGUCAGAGGUGAAAUUCUUGGAUUUAUUGAAGACUAACUACUGCGAAAGCAUUUGCCAAGGAUGUUUUCAUUAAUCAAGAACGAAAGUUAGGGGAUCGAAGACGAUCAGAUACCGUCGUAGUCUUAACCAUAAACUAUGC
rnacentral:rRNA from 1 species